GUACACAAAAAUGCACAUACUGUGAGCUCGAUGAGUAGGGCGGGACACGUGGUAUCCUGUCUGAAUAUGGGGGGACCAUCCUCCAAGGCUAAAUACUCCUGACUGACCGAUAGUGAACCAGUACCGUGAGGGAAAGGCGAAAAGAACCCCGGCGAGGGGAGUGAAAAAGAACCUGAAACCGUGUACGUACAAGCAGUGGGAGCCUCUUAAUGGGGUGACUGCGUACCUUUUGUAUAAUGGGUCAGCGACUUAUAUUCUGUAGCAAGGUUAACCGAAUAGGGGAGCCGAAGGGAAACCGAGUCUUAACUGGGCGUUAAGUUGCAGGGUAUAGACCCGAAACCCGGUGAUCUAGCCAUGGGCAGGUUGAAGGUUGGGUAACACUAACUGGAGGACCGAACCGACUAAUGUUGAAAAAUUAGCGGAUGACUUGUGGCUGGGGGUGAAAGGCCAAUCAAACCGGGAGAUAGCUGGUUCUCCCCGAAAGCUAUUUAGGUAGCGCCUCGUGAAUUCAUCUCCGGGGGUAGAGCACUGUUUCGGCAAGG
rnacentral:rRNA from 1 species